AAUGGUGGUCAAAUAUUUAUGGUAAAUCAGUGUUGUAAACUCCCCAAAAGUUCAGCCAGACAACUGGUCUGGUAACUCUCAAAGGUUACCAGACCGGUUGGAA